rnacentral:rRNA from 1 species
GAUGAACGCUGGCGGCGUGCCUAAUACAUGCAAGUCGAGCGAACAGACGUGGAGCUUGCUCCUCUGACGUUAGCGGUGGACGGGUGAGUAACACGUGGAUAACCUACCUAUAAGACUGGGAUAACUUCGGGAAACCGGAGCUAAUACCGGAUAACAUGUUGAACCGCAUGGUUCAACAGUGAAAGACGGUCUUGCUGUCACUUAUAGAUGGAUCCGCGCCGCAUUAGCUAGUUGGUAAGGUAACGGCUUACCAAGGCAACGAUGCGUAGCCGACCUGUGAGGGUGAUCGGCCACACUGGAACUGAGACACGGUCCAGACUCCUACGGGAGGCAGCAGUAGGGAAUCUUCCGCAAUGGGCGAAAGCCUGACGGAGCAACGCCGCGUGAGUGAAGAAGGUCUUCGGAUCGUAAAACUCUGUUAUUAGGGAAGAACAAAUGUGUAAGUAACUAUGCACGUCUUGACGGUACCUAAUCAGAAAGCCACGGCUAACUACGUGCCAGCCGCCGCCGUAA